GGCAUUUUGCUGGUUUUGGCGGUCGAGAAAGA
rnacentral:scRNA from 1 species